UCAACGAGGGAGCGUGUAUAAGGUCCAUUGAUCUGCUAGAAACAAUAGAUAAAUUCUUCUCAUAUCAUGGUCAAUCGUUUAAAAGAAAAAGAAAAAGAACGGAAGAAUGCAUUAGACAAUAUAUGCAAAUAUACAAAUAGGCAUGGUUGUCAAGGUUGGAACGGCUUAAGUCAGAGAUUUUCUCAAACACUAAUAAGAAUAACGAUAGCAAAUUCGGGAUGAAAUGAACUAUCAUGUUCAAGCCCUCAACACGUUGCUAUGUUUAGGGACUUUACAUGUUCAUCUCAACGCAGUAACCCCUUGCCUUUCGAGAGACAAUUACUAGGAAGUCAGUUCCUGUAAAAAGACGAUAUAAAUCGACCCGGCGGGCCACCCAUCGCCAUAUGACAGCAACAAUAACAACAGCCGUCGAACCACUAACAACAACAACAACUACAGCAGCAGCAGCAGCAACAGCAGCAGUGACAGAAGCAGUAACAGCUGUAGAAGUAAUAAUAUUUCAGAAAAUAAAGGUGAAGGCAAUA